CCACCGAGGCGGCCAGGGACGCGCGGCGGCGGGCAGCUGGACACCUCCCCGCCCGGCUUUCAGCCUACAGGGCAGGCAGAUGACGUUUCUGAACCAGAUGAUGCCUGAGGAGCCUUCAUAGCUCUAAGCUAUUAGGAGAGUAAAACUGCCAGGCCUGGGACUGCUGAGCCUUGCCCUGCCUCUCAACACAAUGUCAGGAAGCCACACACCUGCUGGUGGCCCCUUCUCAGCGCUGACCCCGAGCAUACGGCCCCAGGAGAUCCUGGCCAAGUGCACACAGAAGGAAGACUCAGUGGAGCAGCCAGAGUUCCACUACGAUGAGUUUGGUUUCCGCGUGGACAAGGAAGGUAAGGACGGCUGUCCUUGGGGAAGACUCGUGCCAAUGACUCUCACCCCCAGAGUGUGACGACCCCUGGACAGCAUCUGAAGGCGGUGUUGUUACAAGUGUAUAGGGACCUCUGACUGCUUUGAGAUAAGUUUUAUUGAUCUCUAUCUGAUAAUAAGAGUGAUAAUGUUCAUGGUGGAGAAGCUGGAAAAUACAGAGAAGUAUAAAGAUUAAAACAAAAUUAACCCAUAAUCCCACAACCUGAAAAUAACUGCUGACAAUCUGGCUGUGUUGUGUGUGUGUGUCUAUUAUAUAUAUUUUUCAUAACUAAGAUUUUAUUGUUUACACGUUUUUAUAUUGCUCUUGUAUCACUUAACAUACCAUGGGCAUUUUCCCAUGUUGGCUAAAAUCACUUUAGUACAACUUCAGUGGCUUUCAAUGGCUGCAUAAUGUCCCAUUAUAAUGGGUUUAUCGUAUGGUUUUAUAACCAUUUUCCCAUAAGUGGACCUCUGGGUCGUUUCCGUUGUUUUCUACUAUAAAUAGAGUGGCCUAUUGGGAAGCCGUCUGCCGGAACCCAGGGUAGCCUGUCACCAGGAUGUAAUCAGGACUAGAGCAUGUUAACUGGUUGAAACCAAUCAGCCUCCGGUCUCUCAGAUUUCCAGUUCUGGCAUAAAUUGCCCUUUUUCUUCUAGUUUGCAGGCAGAUAGUUGGAGGUUACACGCUGGGGAUGAGAGGGACCAAGGGAACUGUCUAGCACAAUUCUGUGUUGUGAUGGAGACAAGGGUUAUACAUUUGUAUGUUUAUUGAUGCUCGUCAUGGUGUACAUUUACAAUGUGUGCAUUUUAUGGUAUGCAAAUGCAUUAAAGUUGACAUUUGAACAAGGCUUGGCUUUAGGCUGAAUGAGGAUGAGGUUUGCUGUGGGGCGAACCCACACAGAGAUGGCUGGGUUGCAGAGGAGAGCCUUGUCCUGGUUCAUUCCACAGGUAGCUCAUGGCAGCCAGCUGUGGGCUGUGCACUGUUUGCUGCACUAUCCACAGGGCCUCAGACAAAACAGAAGGCAGCCUUGGCCCUGUGGAGUUCCCA